CGCGUCCCGGGCGCCGGGCGCCGUCGUCCUCGUUAGUAUAGUGUGAAAGACGUAAUACCUGCCAGAUGUUGUGGUUCACCCCUGCAAUCCCAGCAUUCGAGAGGCUGAGGCAAGAGAAUCGCCACAAAUUCAAGGCCAUCCUGGACUACACACCAGGACAUGAGCAGCUUUGGUGUGCCACAUCCUGCCAUAGACCUGAAGAAGACUGACCGAUCGGGGACCAACACCUCUAAAACCGUGAACCAAAUCCCAGACCCUUGCUUUUCUAGCUUCUGUUGUAGCUGUACACACUGCACAUUGGAUGCAUGAGUCCCACAUCUUGAGCUGGAAACAGGUGAGCACCAGCAGCAGCAGCAGCAGCAGCAGCAGCAAAGACACUGAAUCUCUUUGGUGAGGUUACAGCAGCAGGGGCAGCUUCACCCAGUUUCCAGAGAUCACAGGUCUCGGACCCAAAGCGAUCCUGCAGAGGACAGUAAUAUCUUCAGGGGACACAUUGUGCCUGGUCCUUCUGAUACCUGGCCUAUUGGCCACCUAACUUCGGAACAAAGCACCCAGCACUCCUGGCUGCCACAGCUCACAGCCCAGUGAUAAUCAGCGAAGGUCUUUAAGACCCUCUUGCCAUGGGACUUGGUUUAAAUGAAGAACUUUAGGCUGGGAUUUGGCUCAGUGGUGCUAUGCCUGCCUUGCAUGUGCAAGGUCCUGAGUUCAAUCACCGGUACCAAAAUAAAGAACUUAACUUUCUCAAAUUCUCUUUCAUCAAUUCCUUACAUGAUUAAAGGCCCUGAGGAAACACUGGCUAUCUAAAAAGGACAGGAAGACAUUUUGUAAUUCUAAAGUAACUUCUAAGUCAAAUGUUGAUAAGCAUCCUAGGUAUCCUAGUUCUCUGAGCCCAAGGAACAACUUCUGUAUGUAUAAAAAUGUAUCCAGGCUUGCACCAGUGCAGAUAGAGCAUAACUCUCUCUGUAUGUACUUUACAAUAAAGUCUACCUAGACUUCUGCACAG
rnacentral:lncRNA from 1 species